CCAUAUUUUACUUGUUGGUAUGAUGUUCUUUUUCUGAAAUACUGUGUUACUUUUACACCAGACGUCAUGGGACACACACCUCUCCAAAAGUUCAACUUUCGUCUUGUUAGUCCACAGAGUACUUUCCCAAAAGUCUUGGGGAUCAUCAAGAUGUUUUCUGGCAAAACUGAGACGAGCCUUUGUUCUUUUUGCUCAGCAGCGGUUUUCAUCUUGGAACAUUUUUGCCCAGUCUCUUUCUUAUGGUGGAGUCAUGAACACUGACCUUAACUUGAGGCAAGCGAGGCCUGCAGUUCUUUGGAUGUUGUUGUGGGGUUUUUUGUGACCUCUUGGAUGAGUCCUUGCUGUGCUCUUGGGGUAAUUUUGGUUGGCCGGCCACUCCUGGGAAGGUUCACCACUGUUCCAUGUUUUCACCAUUUGUGGAUAAUGGCUCUCACUGUGGUUCGCUGGAGUCCCAAAGCUUUAGAAAUGGCUUUAUAACUUUUUCCAGACUGAUAAAUCUCAAUUACUUUCUUUCUUAUUUGUUCCUGAAUUUCUUUGAAUCUCAAUGUCAUGUUCCCUGUCUGUGUUCCCUGUAUCUCCUCUGUGUAUGCACCUCAUGUUCCCCUGCUGCUCCCCUUGUUUGUUACCAUGGACACUCAUUGGACCACGCCCCCUUGUUAACUCAUUAUCUUGUUUGUGCCCGUGUAUAAAUAGUGCCUGUGUUUCAAUCAUGCCGACAUGUUUUCCUAGUCUUUGUGUUCCUUGUUCCUUGCCUUGGGCCUGUUGCACAAAAGUAGAAUUAAGACAUCCGGGAUAAAUGACUCAGCUGAGCUCAAUAAAGCCAAAACAUGUGCGUCCAGGCUUAAUUGGUUGCACAAAGACCAAGCCAGGAUGAGCAGACACGGAUUCAUUAAGCCAGGUGAAACCAAUCCUGGAUAGGUGCGCGCUCACGGCUCACUCAAAUAGACCCCGCCACAGAUCACAGAUUAACUGAUUUACCAUGGCAACUAGAGCCGCGUACUUUUCCCCGUCGGAAGCACAAAUCCUCAUGGAGGCAUACGAGGAGGUAAAAGAUAUAAUUAAGAAGAAAGGCAACACCGCCACAGUGAUAAAGCAAAGAGAAAAAGCGUGGCAAAGUAUUGCAGACCGCCUGAAUGCAUUAAACAUGAACGGGCCAAAACGGACAUGGCAGCAGGUCAAAAUCAAAUACAAGAACAUUCUGCAGAAUGCAGUGAAAAAGAAUACCCACAGACAAGGCACGGGUGGUGGGUCACCAAAGGCUGACCUUACCCCAGCAGAGGACAUGGCCUUGGAGCUAAAUAAAGGCAGGCCCGUCUUAGAGGGGAUCCCUGGGGGGAAAGAGACGAGCAUAGGUUCCUCCCAAGAUGCCACCCGCUUCAUUCAAGUGUCUGGCAGCACUGUGUUCCUGUUAGAGCCACCAGCACAAGCACCAGACGAUGCUGAUCCAGGUGAAAGCCCCAGUGCAGCAGCAACAGCACAUGAUGGAGACGAUGAUGAGGAGGAGACCAUCUCUGUGGAUUCCAGAAGGCAUGAGGACCCAGAUGCUAUACAGUGGGAAAACCAGCCUGGCAACAUAAGCUCACAAGCUAUCAGAAAGUUGUAUGGCAACCACCUCCGGCGCCAAAUAGAACUGGCAGACAUAGACAUUCAGUACAAGAAGAAAAAGAUAGAAAAUCUUGCACUGGAGUCCGAAAUAAAAAAGAGGACAAUUAGGAAACUGGACCUUGAAAUAAAAAAACUUGAGAGGGAGCUCCAAGAAGAUGACACAGCUCAAAAUAAAAAUUAGGUAUAUUCUCGUAAAGUCAAGUGAGCCAUGACAUAUGAGCUCUUAUUGUGAGCACACAGGACGGUGGCAUCUUUCUAAGUGGAGCCUUCCUGUACUCAGUGGGGGAUGCAGAACAGCUGAACAAGGCCACAAUUUGCCGCACAAUAAGGAGUGUGUGUCUGGCUAUCAAAGCAUUAGCAGAUGUCUUCAUCUCCUUCCCUGGCCACAGAAGACUC